rnacentral:rRNA from 1 species
AGCCAGACUCCUACGGGAGGCAGCAGUGGGGAAUAUUGCACAAUGGGGGAAACCCUGAUGCAGCGACGCCGCGUGAGUGAAGAAGUAUUUCGGUAUGUAAAGCUCUAUCAGCAGGGAAGAAAAUGACGGUACCUGACCAAGAAGCCCCGGCUAACUACGUGCCAGCAGCCGCGGUAAUACGUAGGGGGCAAGCGUUAUCCGGAUUUACUGGGUGUAAAGGGAGCGUAGACGGUUGUGCAAGUCAGAAGUGAAAGCCCGGGGCUCAACUCCGGGACUGCUUUUGAAAUUGUGAAACUGGAGUGCAGGAGAGGUAAGCGGAAUUCCUGGUGUAGCGGUGAAAUGCGUAGAUAUCAGGAGGAACACCAGUGGCGAAGGCGGCUUACUGGACUGUAACUGACGUUGAGGCUCGAAAGCGUGGGGAGCAAACAGGAUUAGAUACCCCAGUA